UGCAGCAACGCCGCGUGAGGGAUGACGGCCUAUCGGGUUGUAAACCUCUUUUAGCAAGGAAGAAGCGAAAGUGACGGUACUUGCAGAAAAAGCGCCGGCUAACUACGUGCCAGCAGCCGCGGUAAUACGUAGGGCGCAAGCGUUAUCCGGAAUUAUUGGGCGUAAAGAGCUCGUAGGCGGUUUGUCGCGUCUGCUGUGAAAACUGGAGGCUCAACCUCCAGCCUGCAGUGGGUACGGGCAGACUAGAGUGCGGUAGGGGAGAUUGGAAUUCCUGGUGUAGCGGUGGAAUGCGCAGAUAUCAGGAGGAACACCGAUGGCGAAGGCAGAUCUCUGGGCCGUAACUGACGCUGAGGAGCGAAAGGGUGGGGAGCAAACAGGCUUAGAUACCCUGGUAGUCCACCCCGUAAACGUUGGGAACUAGUUGUGGGGACCAUUCCACGGUUUCCGUGACGCAGCUAACGCAUUAAGUUCCCCGCCUGGGGAGUACGGCCGCAAGGCUAAAACUCAAAGGAAUUGACGGGGACCCGCACAAGCGGCGGAGCAUGCGGAUUAAUUCGAUGCAACGCGAAGAACCUUACCAAGGCUUGACAUAUACGAGAACGCUGCAGAAAUGUAGAACUCUUUGGAC
rnacentral:rRNA from 1 species